rnacentral:rRNA from 1 species
UACGGGGGGGGCAAGCGUUGUUCGGAAUUACUGGGCGUAAAGGGCUCGUAGGUGGCCAACUAAGUCAGACGUGAAAUCCCUCGGCUUAACCGGGGAACUGCGUCUGAUACUGGAUGGCUUGAGUUUGGGAGAGGGAUGCGGAAUUCCAGGUGUAGCGGUGAAAUGCGUAGAUAUCUGGAGGAACACCGGUGGCGAAGGCGGCAUCCUGGACCAACACUGACGCUGAGUGAGCGAAAGCCAGGGGAGCAAACGGG